rnacentral:miRNA from 1 species
UGCUUUCUUUAGAAUUUAUC